rnacentral:lncRNA from 1 species
ACUUGCAGGUUGCUGCUCCCAGCCAUGGCUUCGCGCUGCUGGCGCUGGUGGGGCUGGUCGGCGUGGCCUCGGACCCGGCUGCCUCCCGCCGGGAGCACCCCGAGCUUCUGCCACCAUUUCUCCACACAGGAGAAGACCCCCCAGAUCUGUGUGGUGGGCAGUGGCCCAGCUGGCUUCUACACGGCCCAACACCUGCUAAAGCUGCCACCCUGUUCCCCAGCAGCACCCCCAGGCCCACGUGGACAUCUACGAGAAACAGCCUGUGCCCUUUGGCCUGGUGCGCUUUGGUGUGGCGCCUGAUCACCCCGAGGUGAAGAAUGUCAUCAACACAUUUACCCAGACGGCCCAUUCUGGCCGCUGUGCCUUCUGGGGCAACGUGGAGGUGGGCAGGGACGUGACGGUGCCGGAGCUGCAGGAGGCCUACCACGCUGUGGUGCUGAGCUACGGGGCAGAGGACCAUCGGGCCCUGGAAAUUCCUGGUGAGGAGCUGCCAGGUGUGUGCUCCGCCCGGGCCUUCGUGGGCUGGUACAACGGGCUUCCUGAGAACCAGGAG